AUUUAUAGUAGUGUAUGAUUAACCUUUCAAUCAACAAUCCAUGCUGCGCCGCUCAUAUGUAAAUCACUACAUUGGCACAGAUUACCUAGUGUAGGGUAAUCAUUUGCCGCAACCUGGGUAAAUAAAUGUUGAAUUACAAAUUCACAUUUUGUUCCUGUGCCUUUUACACUAAAAGAGAAUAAGAAGCUUGUACGGUCCUAUUCCCGUAAGGGGACUAAACACAAAAAUGGUGUUUGGGUGUAUUGUACUCGAUACGUUUGUAUAUUUUCGAGAAGCAGUGGUUUCAAAUUUUAAAUUUUUUAAAAUAAACAAAUGAAAAUUCUAGUUGAGGGGGGUUUUGGGACAUGAAUAAAUCUCUAGAAUCAAUGUUUGAAACGACACUUAAACAAAGCAGAGUAACAAUCUGUCUCUUUUGCAUGGCAAUAGCCAGAUACAAUACUCCCUGAAGAAAGACUCAUGGAACACUGUCAUAUCCUGACGCUAGUAAUGAGGAUUGUGCGUGCACAGGCAUAAUAGCUUGAAUCCCUGUAACCUCGCCUGUAACAUUUAUAACUACAAAUCAAUUUUUAAAAAGUAAUUCAUGUAGUAUGUACACUGUUUCAAAGACUGCAAAAGGUGAAGAAAAUUGAUAUUUCUUACAGAUGGGAAGUAGCCUGUAGGAGUGAUAUUCAGGUGAAGUUCGAACACUUAUGACCAUAAUGGAUUUCUAGGUA